GCUCAGGCUCAGCUCUGGUGCUUAAGUCACUCUCUGGCUGUUAUCCAUCUGUCACCAUUUACUUCUGUCUCAUUCAAACACUCUCCUGUCUCCGCUCCUCUCCAUCUCUGAUUUACUCCCAAAGUCCUUUCAUUUCCUGCAUCUCAUCCCCCUACUAACUCCAAAACUCCCAGAGCCGCACUAAACGACCCCUUCCCCCGGGGUCACUAUCCCGCUGAUCUCUGGAAGCUGCUGCUGCUGCUGCUGCUGCUGGUGGGACACAUUACUCUUUGCCUCCCCAUUUGAAUAUGCCACAAGAAAACAUGAAUUUGCUGUUCCACUGAUUGGAACUGUUAAAUGACGCUGUCAAGGAAUUUUCAUGUCUAAAAAUACUUCCAGAAGCUGCAAAAAUAACCAGCCACAGGCCAGGGAAGUUAUGAUUGCCUUGAUGUACCUACUGCAAUCUGCUUUACGAAUCUCAGCUGUACCAAGACGCUUCCUUGUGGUAAGACAUUUCACCUUUGUCGUCCUCAGUUUCCUCAGUUGUAAAAUAGGGGCAGAAUGGCAUCAAUGUCCUCCAGGGCCCCAUCCAGGCUUCCUCAUCACCACCAUCAAUGAAUGCUGGCCAACUGUCACCAACAGGCAGACAGGCACCUGGGAAUAGUCUUGGAAAUAACCAUACCCUAUCCUCUCCAGACCACCAUUCCUAAUCCCAGCUCAGCCCUCAUAACAAUCACAUGGGGAAAUAACUCCUGCAGAGAAGAAGCCAUCAUUCCCACCAGCUCCCACCCAUGUAGCCAGCUUGGCUGAAGCAGCAGUCACCCUGGGGAAGAACAGGAGGCGGUGUGUGCCAGGUAGGGCAAAGCACACUACCAUCUUUGGCCACCUCCUCUUAGACCUUAAUGGAGACAGCCCAGGACCCUGAACUCAAGAGCCUUGGGAACAGGUAGGCAUCCAGCCCAGGGCCCCUAGCCAUCAUCUUGGCAAGCAGCCUCUGAGGAUAUGAUGCCUGGCAAUUAUAGCAGAGGCUACGGCCACAGCUACCGAAGGCCCAGAAAAGCAAGUUCUUGGCACCAAAGUCCUUGGCCUUUCAAAUGGUUCAACAUCAGAAAAUGAUAGGAUUUUAUCAGUGGAAAUGACAUUAUAGAAGAAACUUUGCCUUGACACUCUGAGGAUCAUGGGAGUUUCCAUCUGACUUGCAGCUAAAACUUUCCAUAUAUGUGUCUCCCCCCAUUAGAAUAUAAGCUCCACAAAUCA